GCAGUUUAGACACUUACAGAAAUGUCUUUGUUUAAGAAAAGGUGCACUGUGAAAGUGUCACGUGGUAUAACCUCAUAAUAAUUUUCUCUUUUUGAAGACCCAGGAUUCAUGAUCAGAGAUCCAGUUAAAAGGGAUCUCUGGCUUGCGUUUGCAGCACAGCCACCCCACCUUCAGCUGAUCAUCCCAGAUCCAGCAGCAGGUUCUGUAGUUCUCUGAGGUGGAGUUCCCAGAGUCAACUGACAGCUCCUCUGCCAUGACACCUUGCCCUUGCUGCCCUUGGGCUGGGGACAUAACGAAGAGUCUGAUUGUUUUGGUUGCACCAUCAGUACACGGCUCUAAGGAGAGGAGGCUCCCAGGCCUUUGGACUCCAGGACUUAUUCCAGUGCCCCUCUGUGAUCUCAGGCUUUCGGCCUUGGACUGAGAAUUGCACCGUCAGUUUUCCUGGUUCUGAGAUCUUCAGACUUGGACUGAGUUACACUACCAGCACCCCAGGGUCUCCAGCUUGCAAAUGGCCUUUCAUGAAACUUAGUAUCCAUAACCAUGUGAGCCAAUUUUCCUAAUAAAUUAUCUCUCAAUUUUUAUAUAUAUAUAUA
rnacentral:lncRNA from 10 species